rnacentral:misc_RNA from 1 species
GUGGUGUUUGUCAAAAGGUAAAAAUUAUUGUCAUGGACAUUGAUCUUAGGUUGCCUUCUGGUGAGCAUGACAAAGACAACGAAGAACCAAAUGGAAUUGACAAUAUGUUGAGUGAAGACAAGCUACAUAAUGGAGAUGUAGUAACUGGAAAUAUUGUCAAUGUUGCAGAAGAGGUACAUGCCAUAGAAGGUGGGGCCAUGAGUUCUCCAACAGCAGAAUUCAAAGAAGAAGCUAAUCUUGAGCCACUUUCUGGUAUGGAAUUUGAAUCACAUGGGGCAGCAUAUUCUUUUUAUCAAGAAUAUGCUCGGUCUAUGGGAUUUAACACAGCAAUACAAAACAGCCGCC